GGCANGCCUAACACAGGCAANNCGAGCGGANGAAGAGAGCUUACUAUNUCNUUCANNGGCGGACGGGUNAGUAAUGCCUNGGAAUCUGCNUNGUAGUGGGGGACAANGUCUAGAAAGNGACGNUAAUACUGCAUACGUCCUACGNGAGAAAGCANNNGACNUUCNNUCCGGCCUUGCGCUAUCAGAUGAGCCUAGGUCGGAUUAGCUAGUUGGUGAGGUAAUGGCUCACCAAGGCGACGAUCCGUAACUGGUCUGAGAGGAUGAUCAGUCACACUGGAACUGAGACACGGUCCAGACUCCUACGGGAGGCAGCAGUGGGGAAUAUUGGACAAUGGGCGAAAGCCUGAUCCAGCCAUGCCGCGUGUGUGAAGAAGGUCUUCGGAUUGUAAAGCACUUUAAGUUGGGAGGAAGGGUUGUAAAUUAAUACUCUGCAAUUUUGACGUUACCGACAGAAUAAGCACCGGCUAACUCUGUGCCAGCAGCCGCGGUAAUACAGAGGGUGCAAGCGUUAAUCGGAAUUACUGGGCGUAAAGCGCGCGUAGGUGGUUUGUUAAGUUGGAUGUGAAAGCCCCGGGCUCAACCUGGGAACUGCAUUCAAAACUGACAAGCUAGAGUAUGGUAGAGGGUGGUGGAAUUUCCUGUGUAGCGGUGAAAUGCGUAGAUAUAGGAAGGAACACCAGUGGCGAAGGCGACCACCUGGA
rnacentral:rRNA from 1 species